AAGCUCGUAGUUGAAUUUCGGGAUCAGACUGUCGGUCGUGCCUCGGUACGCACUGGCAUUAUUGGUUCCUACCUUCUGAAGAACCGCGGUGUCAUUAAUUUGGUGUCGCGGGGAAUCAUGACUGUUACUUUGAAAAAAUUAGAGUGUUUAAAGCAGGCUUACGCUUGAAUACAUUAGCAUGGAAUAAUGAAAUAGGACGUUUGAUUCUAUUUUGUUGGUUUCUAGGAUCGACGUAAUGAUUAAUAGGGAUAGUUGGG
rnacentral:rRNA from 1 species